UUUGUGGGGGUCUCUGGGUGGUGUGGCACUGGGCGUAGGUAGUCAGAGGGGUGCUGGGCAGGGGUGUGUGUGGGGGGGUCUCUGGGUGGUUUGGCACUGGGCGUAGGUAGUCAGAGGGGUGCUGGGCAGGGGUGUGUGUGUGGGGGUCUCUGGGUGGUGUGGCACUGGGCGUAGGGAGUCAGAGGGGUGCUGGGCAGGGGUGUGUGUGUGGGGGUCUCUGGGUGGUGUGGCACUGGGCGUAGGGAGCCAGAGGGGUGCUGGGCAGGGGUGUGUGUGUGGGGGUCUCUGGAUGGUGUGGCACUGGGCAUAGGGAGUCAGAGGGAUGCUGGGCAGGGGUGUGUGUGGGGGGGUCUCUGGGUGGUGUGGCACUGGGUGUAGGGAGUCAGAGGGAUGCUGGGCAGGGGUGUGUGUGUGGGGGUCUCUGGGUGGUGUGGCACUGGGCAUAGGUAGUCAGAGGGGUGCUGGGCAGGAGUGUGUGGGGGGGUCUCUGGGUGGUGUGGCACUGGGCGUAGGGAGCCAGAGGGGUGCUGGGCAGGGGUGUGUGUGUGGGGGUCUCUGGAUGGUGUGGCACUGGGCGUAGGGAGCCAGAGGGGUGCUGGGCAGGGGUGUGUGUGGGGGGGUCUCUGGGUGGUGUGGCACUGGGCGUAGGGAGUCAGAGGGGUGCUGGGCAGGAGUGUGUGGAGGGGUCUCUGGGUGGUGUGGCACUGGGCGUAGGGAGUCAGAGGGGUGCUGGGCAGGAGUGUGUGUGUGGGUCUCUGGAUGGUGUGGCACUGGGUGUAGGGAGUCAGAGGGGUGCUGGGCAGGGGUGAGUGUGUGGAGGGGUCUCUGGGUGGUGUGGCACUGGGCGUAGGGAGUCAGAGGGGUGCUGGGCAGGAGUGUGUGGAGGGGUCUCUGGGUGGUGUGGCACUGGGUGUAGGUAGUCAGAGGGGUGCUGGGCAGGGGUGUGGAGGGGUCUCUGGGUGGUGUGGCACUGGGUGUAGGGAGCCAGAGGGGUGCUGGGCAGGGGGGUAGCAUGGUGCAGCAUGGGCCCACACCGAAGGGGAAGAAGCAGGAUGGCAGCACAGGGCUGGGCUGGACAGUGCCUGUCUGGCAGCUCCCGGGUUGUAAACAGUGCCCUUGUACUGGGCUGGGUGUUUGAGUGAGGGGUGCAGGCUCUGACCUGGGGUAUAGCAG